UAGGGAAUCUUCCGCAAUGGACGAAAGUCUGACGGAGCAACGCCGCGUGAGUGAAGAAGGAUUUCGGUUCGUAAAACUCUGUUGUUAGGGAAGAAAAAAUGUAUAGUAACUAUAUACAAAAGCGACGGUACCUAACCAGAAAGCCACGGCUAACUACGUGCCAGCAGCCGCGGUAAUACGUAGGUGGCAAGCGUUGUCCGGAAUUAUUGGGCGUAAAGCGCGCGCAGGUGGUUUAGAAUGUCUGAUGUCAAAGCCCACGGCUCAACCGAGGAGAGUCAUUGGAAACGAAUAUUCUUGGUUGCAGGAGAGAAAAGGUGAAGUCCUAGUGUAGCGUUGAAAUGCGUAGAGAUUAGGUAUUACACCGGUGGCGAAAGCGGCUUUUUGGCCUGCAACUGACUCAGAGGCGCGAAAGCGUGGGGAGCAAACAGG
rnacentral:rRNA from 1 species